rnacentral:sRNA from 1 species
UAGAAUAAUGUGCUUUACACUCUAAACUU